rnacentral:rRNA from 1 species
GAUGAACGCUAGCGGCAGGCCUAAUACAUGCAAGUCGAACGGCAGCAGGCUGUAGCAAUACAGUGCUGGCGAGUGGCGCACGGGUGCAUAACACGUAUGUAAUUUGCCCAUAACUGGGGGAUAGCCUUCCGAAAGGAAGAUUAAUACCCCCAUAACCCAGCGAGGUGGCAUCACUUUUCUGGUAAAACUCCGGUGGUUAUGGAUAAGCAUGCGUCGAUUAGCUAGUUGGCGAGGUAACGGCUCACCAAGGCAACGAUCAGUAGGGGGUCUGAGAGGAUGAUCCCCCACACGGGUACUGAGACACGGACCCGACUCCUACGGGGAGGCAGCAGUAAGGAAUAUUGGACAAUGGAGGCAACUCUGAUCCAGCCAUGCCGCGUGAAGGAUGAAGGCGCUACGCGUUGUAAACUUUCUUUUCUAACUAAGAAAAACUAUUUUGGUUUUCGUACCGAAUCUGAUUGUACAGUAGGAAUAAGCAUCGGCUAACUAUGU